GAGAACUGUGGUUUGGCUGCCCUGAUGCAGGACAUAUCCCCAGAAGUGCUUUUGCCUUUUGUGAACAGCCCGUGGAGAUUAGAGCAGCCUGAACGGUUGCAAUCAGCCCUCCAGAGACCUUUGCUCCCUUGAGCUGAGCUGUAGCCAGCAUCUGGCCUCACCGUGAUCUUGGUCUACUGAAAUGACAUUGGAGUGAAGGACUUUUUCUUCCCUCUCCCUUUUUUAAUUCUUUAUCCCCCCCUUUUUCAGCGUCUAAUGCUGCUGUGGAUUAGAGAGCCUCUGCUGUAAAGGAGAGGGGGCUCAAAUGGCAUCAGUGUUAUCAGUUCAGCUGUGAGCAGUUCUGGAAGGGAUGCUUUGCAGUGAGCCGGCCUGGAGCUAAGCAACUCUGCCAUCAUCAGGUUCAGUUCAGGAGCGCAAAACAGAGAGGAGCUGCUGGAAGGCUGCAGUGUUCCUUGCUACAGGCGCUGUGCCGGAGAGGCAUCUUCAGCUCCCUUGAGGACCCAAAGGGCCCAGAGGAGAGCUUUGGUGCCAUACCAUUGCUUGGACUACCCAAGAACAAGGAGAAAGUGGAGUAAUUUACAUGAAUAGCACACAUGAAGAAAUUGCAUCUGUGCUGGCUGAGCUCUAUAUGAGGACCAGAGGGGGAAAAGCACCUUAUUAACAAGUGAUGAAACACUGAAGUGAUGAGGUAAGCUAUUCCUGGUGAAGGUUGCUCACUGCCCAGCUGAUGUCCUCAACUGCUGUCUUCAAUAGCGUUCACAGAAAACAAGCCUGAUUUGUGUAGUUCAUCCAGGCAGUAUUUUCAACUGACAUCUCUGUGCCAGAAAGGAGUCUCUUUCAGUGUUGAUUUACCUCACCUGGGCUGGAGACACAAGAGAGACAUUUCCUUCAUAGCAGAUGGCAUCAAAUGAGCUCCAGGGACAUUUGCUGCAUUUCGGUGAUAACAAUGUAAUACGCUUAUUUGAUUUCAUCAUGCAAAACCAGAAUCAUUUUAUAUAAGACUUCACCCACAUCAGUCUGCACUUAUUUUUUGCACCAUUUUUGGCCCUGAGCCUGACAAAUAAUUUCCAAGUUACCCAAAAUGGAACUUUU
rnacentral:lncRNA from 14 species